rnacentral:rRNA from 1 species
GAUGAACGCUAGCUACAGGCUUAACACAUGCAAGUCGAGGGGCAGCAUGGUCUUAGCUUGCUAAGGCCGAUGGCGACCGGCGCACGGGUGAGUAACACGUAUCCAACCUGCCGUCUACUCUUGGACAGCCUUCUGAAAGGAAGAUUAAUACAAGAUGGCAUCAUGAGUCCGCAUGUUCACAUGAUUAAAGGUAUUCCGGUAGACGAUGGGGAUGCGUUCCAUUAGAUAGUAGGCGGGGUAACGGCCCACCUAGUCUUCGAUGGAUAGGGGUUCUGAGAGGAAGGUCCCCCACAUUGGAACUGAGACACGGUCCAAACUCCUACGGGAGGCAGCAGUGAGGAAUAUUGGUCAAUGGGCGAGAGCCUGAACCAGCCAAGUAGCGUGAAGGAUGACUGCCCUAUGGGUUGUAAACUUCAUUUAUAAAGGAAUAAAGUCGGGUAUGGAUACCCGUUUGCAUGUACUUUAUGAAUAAGGAUCGGCUAACUCCGUG